rnacentral:tRNA from 1 species
GCAGAAGUACCCAAGAGGCUCAAGGGGCUCCCCUGCUAAGGGAGUAGUACUGUUAAAGGUAGCGCGAGUUCGAAUCUCGCCUUCUGCGCCA